GAUGAACGCUGGCGGCGUGCCUAAUACAUGCAAGUCGAGCGAACGGACGAGAAGCUUGCUUCUCUGAUGUUAGCGGCGGACGGGUGAGUAACACGUGGAUAACCUACCUAUAAGACUGGGAUAACUUCGGGAAACCGGAGCUAAUACCGGAUGAUAUUUUGAACCGCAUGGUGCAAAAGUGAAAGACGGUCGUGCUGUCACUUAUAGAUGGAUCCGCGCUGCAUUAGCUAGUUGGUAAGGUAACGGCUUACCAAGGCAACGAUGCAUAGCCGACCUGAGAGGGUGAUAGGCGACAUUGGAGGUGGGCCACGGACCAGACUCCUACGGGAGGCAGCAGUAGGGAAUCUUCCGCAGAAGGCGAAAGCCUGACGGAGCAACGCCGCGUGAGUGAUGAAGGUCUUCGGAGCGUAAAACUCUGUUAUUAGGGAAGAACAUAUGUGUAAGUAACUGUGCACAUAGUGACGGUACCUAAUCAGAAAGCCACGGCUAACUACGUG
rnacentral:rRNA from 1 species